rnacentral:rRNA from 1 species
CAGGCCUAACACAUGCAAGUCGAACGAGUGCCUUCGGGUGCUAGUGGCGCACGGGUGCGUAACGCGUGGGAAUCUGCCCUGGGGUCUGGGAUAACCGUUGGAAACGACGGCUAAUACCGGAUGAUGAUGAAAAUCCAAAGAUUUAUCGCCCCGGGAUGAGCCCGCGUCGGAUUAGCUAGUUGGUGGGGUAAAGGCCUACCAAGGCGACGAUCCGUAGCUGGUCUGAGAGGAUGAUCAGCCACACUGGGACUGAGACACGGCCCAGACUCCUACGGGAGGCAGCAGUGGGGAAUAUUGGACAAUGGGCGCAAGCCUGAUCCAGCAAUGCCGCGUGAGUGAUGAAGGCCUUAGGGUUGUAAAGCUCUUUUACCCGGGAUGAUAAUGACAGUACGGGGAGAAUAAGCCCCGGCUAACUCCGUGCCAGCAGCCGCGGUAAU